rnacentral:rRNA from 1 species
AUCAACUUUCGAUGGUAGGAUAGAGGCCUACCAUGGUGGUAACGGGUAACGGGGUGUUAGGGCACGACACCGGAGAGGGAGCCUGAGAAACGGCUACCACAUCCAAGGAUGGCAGCAGGCGCGCAAAUUACCCAAUCCCGACACGGGGAGGUAGUGACAAUAAAUAACAAUACGGGGUUCUUUAGGAUCUCGUAAUUGGAAUGAGUACAAUUUAAAUCUCUUAACGAGGAACAAUUGGAGGGCAAGUCUGGUGCCAGCAGCCGCGGUAAUUCCAGCUCCAAUAGCGUAUAUUAAAGUUGUUGCAGUUAAAAAGCUCGUAGUUGAAUUUCGGGAUCAAUUUAUUGGUCGUGCUAUUGUACGUACUGGUAUUAUUGAUUCCUACCUUCUGACGAAUCAUGAUGUCAUUAAUUUGGUGUCUUGGGGAAUCAGGACUGUUACUUUGAAAAAAUUAGAGUGUUUAAAGCAGGCUCACGCUUGAAUACAUUAGCAUGGAAUAACGAAAUAGGACGUUUGAUUCUAUUUUGUUGGUUUCUAGGAUCGACGUAAUGAUUAAUAGGGAUAGUUGGGGGCAUUAGUAUUCAAUUGUCAGAGGUGAAAUUCUUGGAUUUAUUGAAGACUAACUACUGCGAAAGCAUUUGCCAAGGAUGUUUUCAUUAAUCAAGAACGAAAGUUAGGGGAUCGAAGACGAUCAGAUACCGUCGUAGUCUUAACCAUAAACUAUGCCGACUAGGGAUCGGAUGAUGUUAAUUUUUUAAUGACUCAUUCGGCGCCUUACGGGAAACCAAAGUGUUUGGGUUC